UUCUACGGCCAUGCCACCCUGAACGUGCCGGAUCUCAUCUGAUUUCGGAAGCUAAGCAGGGUGGGACCUGGUUAGUACUUGGAUGGGAGACUACCUAGGAAUACCAGGUGCUGUAGGAG
rnacentral:rRNA from 1 species